UGCCAGCAGUCGCGGUUAAACCAAGAAAUUUAGUCAUUCUCUUACGGUAAAAAGACAGUUAAGUAAAAUAGAAAUCACUAGAUCUUCAAUAUAGGGGUAAAAUCUAAAUAUUGAAAGUUAUUUUAGGUGUGAUUUGUUCUAGAUGCUGAAUCUGUGACAACUUUAAGGGAAACUGGGAUUGGAUACCCCACUAUUUUUAGUCGUAAAUUUAACUUAAGUUUACCAGAGUACUACGAAUAAAAAGUUUAAAACUCAAAGAGCUUGGCGGUGUUUUAGACCUCUCAGGGGAACCUGUCUCAUAAUCGACAAUCCACGUUAGACCUAACCCUUAGUAGCAAACCAGCCUGUAUACCGUCGUCGUCAGGUAACUUCUUAAAAUGUAGUAGUUAGCUCGACAAUUUUGUUAAUUAAGACGUCAGAUCAAGGUGCAGCCAAUAGAAGGGGGAGGAUGGGUUACAAUUACACAUUUGUAAUUACGGAAAACACUUGAAAUGAAGUGGCUAAAGGAGGACUUGAAAGUAAUUUUGGUUAUAUAAAUAGAAUGAAUAAGGCUCUGAAACGUGCACACAUCGCCCGUCACUCU
rnacentral:rRNA from 1 species